rnacentral:misc_RNA from 1 species
UUUCCGUAGGUGAACCUGCGGAAGGAUCAUUCAUAAUAAAGUGUUUUAUGGCACUUUUUAAAAAUCCAUCUCCACCUUGUGUGCAAUGUUAGAUCUCGUCAAUCUUGGCGAGAUUUUUAUACAUCAACUCAUUCUUUAACUAAUUUGUAUGAAAAAUAUUAUGAAUACUUAAUUCAAAAUACAACUUUCAACAACGGAUCUCUUGGCUCUC